rnacentral:rRNA from 1 species
UACGAAGGGGGCUAGCGUUGCUCGGAAUUACUGGGCGUAAAGGGCGCGUAGGCGGGUUUCCAAGUCGGGGGUGAAAUUCCAGGGCUCAACCCUGGGACGGCCUUCGAUACUGGGAGCCUGGAGAUCGGGAGAGGUGAGUGGAAUUCCGAGUGUAGAGGUGAAAUUCGUAGAUAUUCGGAGGAACACCAGAAGCGAAGGCGGCUCACUGGCCCGAGACUGACGCUGAGGCGCGAAAGCGUGGGGAGCAAACAGG